rnacentral:misc_RNA from 1 species
UUAAGUUCAGCGGGUAUUCCUACCUGAUCCGAGGUCAAACGUUCAGAAGUUGGGGGUUUAACGGCGUGGCCGCGCUGUUUCCCAGUGCGAGGUGUGCUACUACGCAGAGGAAGCUACAGCGAGACCGCCACUAGAUUUAGGGGACGGCGGGCGCGGAGGCUCGCCGAUCCCCAACACCAAGCCCGGGGGCUUGAGGGUUG